rnacentral:rRNA from 1 species
GACGUAGGGCGCGAGCGUUGUCCGGAUUUAUUGGGCGUAAAGAGCUCGUAGGCGGCUCGUCGCGUCAACCGUGAAAACCUGUGGCUCAACCACGGGCUUGCGGUUGAUACGGGCGGGCUAGAGUUCGGUAGGGGAGACUGGAAUUCCUGGUGUAGCGGUGAAAUGCGCAGAUAUCAGGAGGAACACCGGUGGCGAAGGCGGGUCUCUGGGCCGAUACUGACGCUGAGGAGCGAAAGCGUGGGGAGCGAACAGG